rnacentral:rRNA from 1 species
CGUAACACGUAUACAAUCUGCCUCCAACAUGGGGAUAGCCCGGAGAAAUUCGGAUUAAUACCCAGUAACAAAUUUAAUGGCAUCAUUAGAUUUUGAAAGCUACGGCGGUUGGAGAUGAGUAUGCGUCUGAUUAGUUAGUUGGUGAGGUAACGGCUCACCAAGACCACGAUCAGUAGGGGAUCUGAGAGGACUACCCCCCACACUGGUACUGAGACACGGACCAG